rnacentral:lncRNA from 1 species
ACCACCUACCCAGGAAUUUAAGCCAGACUUUAUCUACAGUUCCCACCUCUCUUAUGCUGUCUUUCCUAUGAACUCCCAAAAAACAGUCUUUUAAUCAGGAUCAAGUAAGGUUUGACGUUCGAUCAUAAAUACCCCUCACACAAGACUCAUGUCCAUCUCAUGGACUCUUCUUAGACAAGAAUGUUAGAACAGCCUACAUUCUGUUCCCAUGGUUCCACAAUGAACUCUUUAUGAUGUAAUUGAUAACGUCAUCCUCUUGUUUGAGAGAGCUCCCGAAGAGCAGAAAGAUAGAGCUUAAAUUACUUACUUAGCAUGACCUCCUCCCUUCCUUAGCCAGGACAUGCUGUCAAUCUCCCCAGAGGAAUACUGUGCUGUGGGAAUUCUGGAAGCCCUGCACCAUUUUUUUCGGUCUCUGGAGAACUCCUGCACAAGCCCUCCAUGUUGAGCUCAAAACGGAUCUUUUAGAAAACUUUCAUGGACCUCGGGCUAGUUAGAGACUCUCUUUCACCCUCUCAUAGCAUCCUUAUCUCAUUGCCUCUGCACUCUAAUAUUUCCUUUUCUGAUCUGUCCUUCCCUGCGGGCCCCUUCAGGGCAGCUAAGAGUACCCACUUCACAGAGCUCAAUAAAUAG